UAAUACGUAGGCAGCAAGCGUUGUUCGGAGUUACUGGGCGUAAAGAGUAUGUAGGCGGUGCUCCAAGUCUGGUGUGAAAUCUCCCGGCUUAACUGGGAGGGUGCGCCGGAUACUGGAGUGCUUGAGUGUGGGAGAGGAAAGCGGAAUUCCUGGUGUAGCGGUGAAAUGCGUAGAUAUCAGGAGGAACACCGGUGGUGUAGACGGCUUUCUGGACCACUACUGACGCUGAGAUACGAAAGCGUGGGGAGCAAACAGG
rnacentral:rRNA from 1 species